GAGUCUUUGCCUUGAAAGGAAAGCUCUAGAUGUGGAAAUUUUAGAGGUCAAAACCCAGAGGAUUGCCAAACCAAGAAUGACUUCAUUUGGGGGAGACAUAUCUUGCACCAGAACAGCACUAUGAGGAGAUGUAACUGACUAUGGAAGAGAGAAGAUGAUGUUUUUCAUCUGUAUCCUAUGGGAGGAUCGUAGCCUUCUCAGGACCUGAGCUGGAGCCUGGGGCCAAAAGUCCCUGGUGAAAGAUACUCUGGAGAAAGAGAGAGGUCGGCAUUUCCUGGACCCGUGGGCGGUGAGUGUCAGUGAGAAAUGGAGCACUGAGGAGGGUGCCAGACGCUGUGUGCAGAC
rnacentral:lncRNA from 1 species